UACGAAGGGGGGCUAGCGUUGCUCGGAAUCACUGGGCGUAAAGGGUGCGUAGGCGGGUCUUUUAAGUCAGGGGGUGAAAUCCUGGAGCUCAACUCCAGAACUGCCUUUGAUACUGGCAAUCUCGAGUCCGGAAGAGGUGAGUGGAAUUCCUAGUGUAGAGGUGAAAUUCGUAGAUAUUAGGAAGAACACCAGUGGCGAAGGCGGCUCACUGGUCCGGUACUGACGCUGAGGUGCGAAAGCGUGGGGGAGCAAACAGG
rnacentral:rRNA from 1 species